GGCGGACGGGUGAGUAACACGUAGGUGACCUGCCCCGAAGCAGGGGAUAACGGCUCGAAAGGGCCGCUAAUACCCAAAAGGGUCGCGAGUCGCAUCGCGAUCAGAGUUACGGCGUUUCGGGAGGGGCCUGCGGCCCAUCAGCUAGUUGGUAGGGUAACGGCCUACCAAGGCGACGACGGGUAGGGGGCCUGAGAGGGUGAUCCCCCACAUUGGCACUGACACACGGGCCAAACUCCUACGGGAGGCAGCAGUGAGGAAUAUUGCGCAAUGAGCGAAAGCUAGACGCAGCAACGCCGCGUGGACGAUGAAGGCCUUCGGGUCGUAAAGUCCUUUUUAGAGGGACGAGUGAGGACGGUACCUCUAGAAUAAGUCACGGCUAACUACGUGCCAGCAGCCGCGGUAAAACGUAGGUGGCAAGCGUUAUCCGGAUUCACUGGGCGUAAAGCGCCUGCAGGCGGUCUCGUAAGUGGGAUGUGAAAUCUCCUGGCUUAACUGGGAGGGGCCAUUCCAUACUGCGGGACUUGAGGGCAGAAGAGGGAAGCGGAAUUCC
rnacentral:rRNA from 1 species